rnacentral:rRNA from 1 species
GACGAACGCUGGCGGCGUGCUUAACACAUGCAAGUCGAACGCUGAAGCUCAGCUUUUGUUGGGUGGAUGAGUGGCGAACGGGUGAGUAACACGUGAGUAACCUGCCCCCUUCUUUGGGAUAACGCCCGGAAACGGGUGCUAAUACUGGAUAUUCACUGGUCUUCGCAUGGGGGUUGGUGGAAAGGGUUUUUCUGGUGGGGGAUGGGCUCGCGGCCUAUCAGCUUGUUGGUGGGGUGAUGGCCUACCAAGGCUUUGACGGGUAGCCGGCCUGAGAGGGUGACCGGUAACAUUGGGACUGAGAUACGGCCCAGACUCCUACGGGAGGCAGCAGUGGGGAAUAUUGCACAAUGGGCGCAAGCCUGAUGCAGCGACGCCGCGUGAGGGAUGGAGGCCUUCGGGUUGUGAACCUCUUUCGCUCAUGGUCGAGCCACAACAAUGGUUGUGGUGAGGGUAGUGGGUAAAGAAGCGCCGGCUAACUACGUG